rnacentral:rRNA from 1 species
CCUACGUGGUGCUGCAGUGGGGAAUAUUGGACAAUGGGCGAAAGCCUGAUCCAGCCAUGCCGCGUGUGUGAAGAAGGCCUUCGGGUUGUAAAGCACUUUCAGUGGGGAAGAAAGCCUUGGGGCUAAUACCCUCGAGGAAGGACAUCACCCACAGAAGAAGCACCGGCUAACUCCGUGCCAGCAGCCGCGGUAAUACGGAGGGUGCGAGCGUUAAUCGGAAUUACUGGGCGUAAAGCGCGCGUAGGCGGUCUGAUAAGCCGGUUGUGAAAGCCCCGGGCUCAACCUGGGAACGGCAUCCGGAACUGUCAGGCUAGAGUGCAGGAGAGGAAGGUAGAAUUCCCGGUGUAGCGGUGAAAUGCGUAGAGAUCGGGAGGAAUACCAGUGGCGAAGGCGGCCUUCUGGACUGACACUGACGCUGAGGUGCGAAAGCGUGGGUAGCAAACAGGAUUAGAUACCCUUGUAGUC